UACGGGGGGGGCAAGCGUUGUUCGGAAUUACUGGGCGUAAAGGGCUCGUAGGGGGCCAACUAAGUCACACGUGAAAUCCCUCGGCUUAACCGGGGAACUGCGUGUGAUACUGGAUGGCUUGAGUUUGGGAGAGGGAUGCGGAAUUCCAGGUGUAGCGGUGAAAUGCGUAGAUAUCUGGAGGAACACCGGUGGCGAAGGCGGCAUCCUGGACCAAUACUGACGCUGAGGAGCGAAAGCCAGGGGAGCAAACGGG
rnacentral:rRNA from 1 species